rnacentral:lncRNA from 1 species
CCAUUUUAAGUAAUAUACAAAACUUGGUUAUAUUUAUUGUAAAUUUUUUAUUUUUUUAAAUAUAAAUGAAAUUUUUUCUUUAAAUAGUACACAGAUAUCUAACUUAUUAAAUUUAAUGAAAUAAAUUUAGUCAAAUAUUUUUAAAUUUUACAAAGCUAAUAUUAUGUUCAUACGUUUUUAAAAGAUUUUUAAAAAUUCGCCAGCUUCAUCAAGUUCUCGUGCAAAUUCAAUAUUUUCCAUGAAAGGUUUGAUAUACUAUUGCACAAGAGUUGCUACAUACACUUUUAUAAACAAGAACUAGUAGAACUAUCCGUUCUUUGCGCGAUUAAAAAUAUCUUAUUCAAUUAAUGAAAUGAUCCUCUUUACUUGUAAUAUAAUAUAAUGAUAAAAAUAGGUUGUGCACACCUAAAAAAUGACCCUCACUUUCCACAAUUAUAUAUUCCGAGAAAAUUACAUAUAUAUCUUCUUUUGAUUUUAAUUUGUACAUCAUUUUUGAAACUCCAAAUGUAAAUAUUUUAUUUUUAUUUAUCAUAUCUAUUAUGCUUUGAUGUUUUUGCUUGUAUACUUUGCAAUAGGCACGUAUUCCAUCCGUUUCAUUUUACCAGUCCCAAAUUGAUAUCACACAAUUAUUAAGAAAACUAUGAUCUAUAAAGUAACUUUAUCAUUUAACCCCUUUUAAUUGUAUAUCAUUUAACCCCUUUUAAUUGUAUAUUAUUAUCAAUUUCAAUAUUGAUAGAUGACUAAUAUCAAAGCACUAUUUAUAUUCUUAAUAAUAUACUCUUUGUAAUAUUUUUCAAGAAUGUUAAUAAUAAGGAAUAAUCAAUUAUACUAAGGAAAUAAUAAGAAAAAAAAUUAUCUUGAUAAGUAAAAACAGAGAAGUAAAAUACAACAAUAAAUUAGAAAAUUUGAGAUGGAGAAAAAUGGUACUAAGGGAGUAGUUGAGUUGAAUGUAGGAAAGGAAGCAGAGGCUUCAAAUCUGAAAACCAAAAACAGAAAAAUCAACUGACCAAACGCAUGGCCGCGGACAUAACAAUAAUUUAAGACAACUACAAAAUCAUUGCUCCACAAAUUUCAAAUACAAUUAUUGUAGAUUUUAUACUAAAUCAAGAGUGAAAGAUCAUUCAACAAUGGCAAAUUAUUUUUCAAUUAAACUCUACCAGCAGUUUCCUCGUUAUGAUAAAAAUUCCAAAGAAAAGAAUUCUUCAUAAAAACAAUUACUCGUCUUUUUAUAAAAAUAAAUAUGUUAAAAAAAAAGUCACUCAGUUCAGCGAGGUAAUCGACAUGCAAGCAAACUCUAAAAGAGGAGCCUGCAAUCCGGUCUGUUGAGCUUGAAUAUUAUGAAGUCAUCAUCGUGACACUUCUUCCACAAAUAAAUUAGAGUAAAAAGAAAAUUAGAAAACGUGUAAAAUUAAAAGAAAAAAAAAAGAAAUAAAAGAAAUUGCUUAAUCAAGUAAGAGCAGAUCAAGCUAUCAAACAUUAUCUUAUACGUAAAUACCAUUGAUCACAUUUUGUAUUCCAUGCGAAAUUGGUUUUUAUGAAAAUGUUUCAUGUAAAACUGAACAAUGAAACUACAAAUCCUUGAUUUAUAUUAUAACUACAUAGUAAAAACUCAUAUCAAAACAUUAAAACUACAACUUGACAAAAGAUAAUUAACUAUUAGCGAUUAUUAAGGAAAAGCAAUUAAAAUUCAAUUAGUGGUAACUCACAACAAAUCUAUAGAAGGAUUUCCAGAUCACAAAUCCAUACCACAGAAAAUGCAAUCAUGAACCAGGAAUUUCAGAGAAGGUACAUGUUAAAGCUAAGCAAAAGCACUCAAAGAAAACAUUUUCAUAGGAAGCGAUUGAACUUCGAAAGGUAUGACACAAGCCACCAUAUCAUCAUCAGAACGAUAAUCAAUUUCAUUCACAACCAUAACUAGUUGUGUCCAAAGGUGUCCUAAGAUUGAUCUGUGUCAUCAUUUGACUUAUGGCAACCAAUAAACUAAGAAAAAUGUUGCAAAAAAAAAAAAAAAAAAAAAUAUGUGCCACAAAUUAAAAACCAAAAGUAAAACUUGAAUUAAUAAACAGUAUGUGAUUCAGUUGCAACAUAAACAUAAUCACUAUUAUAAAAUCAGUCCAAGUGUUGGAAUUAAAAUAAUUGCUUCAUCAUCAUCACCAUUAGAACAAAAUAUAAAACGGCAGUUUCAUAAAUAGAAAAACAAGAAUAAAAGGUCAUUCAUCACCGAAAUCAGAAGAGGGAGCUUAGAUAUCCUCAUUAUGAUCUCAAUUUCAAAAAGGUCACUCCUGGGCUGAACAUUUGAGUCCAAUAAGUAUUAAUGGAUCGAAUCUCCUUCAGAGGUUAGGUUUGCACGAGAUUUACUUUUGGAAAAUUAUUUAAAACUACAAUAUAAGUUUAUAUUAUUACAUAAAAUUUUAAUUAUUAAAAAUAAUUAUAAAAAUCUCUUUUUAUUACUUUUUCUCUCCAAGUGUCGUAUACAUAUCUCAUCUAUCUUUUUCUUAUGUUUAAUGCUCCUCAAAGAGUAUCUACAAUCAAGGAACCUUAAUCAAGCGGUUUUUAAAUUUUGAAUUUACAAACGUAUUCUUCUCAAAUUGCUCAAUAUCAACUUUUUCAUAAAAAGAAAUCACAGCCGCCGCAUUCCACUCAUCUCCGAUCGGCACACCCCACCAACCCCGUCUCUUUGCCUUCGUCGCUGCUCCAGUGAGAAGCUCCAACUCUGAUGAAUCGAAGUUAACCUCAACAAAUCAACAACCUAUCUGACCGGUGAAAUCUAAUAAAAUUCUAAAAGUUUCUCUCAUCCGAUGAGCUUUGAAAAUACUUCGAAGCAUAGUCAUAAAUAAAAUUAUGGAAAUGACCAAUAAGAUAAGAGGUUCAAUAUGUGAAACAAAGUAAUAUCCAUGUUUUAAUAACAAAAUACAAAACAAAAAUUCAACACUGUCUAUGAAGCCUUUAACUUUAAGAAUAACUCCUAAGUAGGGACUGUGGACAAUGAAAUUUUAUGAAAUGCAAAUCCGUACAAAAUUCGGAUAAUAUUAAAUUUAAAAUAUAUUAAUCCUAAAUAAAUAGUGUGGAUUAAUAUAAUUGGAUUAAUUAGUUAAAGUCCAAACGCAUAUGGAUUUAAUUAAAGUCCAAACGCAUAUGGAUUUAAUUAAAGUCCAAACCUCAAUUGGGCUAACCUAUUAAUUUGGGCUACAAAUGACUAAGCCCACUUUAGCAAGCCCAAGAUGCCGUCAUGUUCUAAAGGCCCAAUUUGGUACCACAUGUCAAAUGAAGUGGUAUGCCAAGUCAAGUGAAGGAGUCAAUGGGACUAUGUCAUGUGUCAAAAUGAUGCAGUAAAUUAAAAGUCCAUAAGAAAUGCCAUGUCACUUAAAUAUGAUUGGUCAAAGAAAGUUUAUGUUUACAUGACUCUUUACUCCCUACAACUAUAAAUAGGGGCCUCAUAAUUCAGAAAAGGGACCAACAAGUUUAACAAGAAGCAAGAAAAAGCUCGUGGAUCAAAAAAGCAGAUUUCUCUACAAAUUCAAGAACAAGCUCAAGAUUUCAAGAUCAAGAGUUCAAGGUUCAAGAACAAGCUCAAGAUUUCAAGAUCAAGAGUUCAAGGUUCAAGAACAAGCUCAAGAUUUUAAGAUCAAGAGUUCAAGGUUCAAGAACAAGCUCAAGAUUGCAAGAUCAAGAGUUCAAGAUUCAAGAACAAGUUCAAUCUUCAAGAUCAAGACUACAAAAUUCAAGAACAAACUCAACGGCCCUUGAAUUCAAGUACAAGUCGAGAUCAAGUUCAUCAAGUCUUCAAAUCAAGUUCAAGUUCAAGAUCAAGACCACAAGAUUCAAGAACAAGCUACCAAGCCCUUGGAUUCAAGCACAAGUCAAGAUCACAUCCGUUAAGUUCAAGUUAAAGUUCAAGAUCAAGCUCGAAGCCCUUGAAUUUAUAGUUUAAAAAGGCAAAUCAGAGGAAUCAUAGAGAUUGUAACACUCACUUAUUGAAAUCAAUAAAUCGAUUGUUGCAGUAUUUUUUCUUGUCUCGAUUAUUAUUUUUUGUCUCGAGAAUUUUACUGUCCAACAAAUUCUGGCACGCCCAGUGGGACGAUUUUUACCUCUCAUCUCAACUUUUUAGACUUUGAAGAUUAAGAACGCUGAAAUGACUUCUAAGAAGAUCAACUCUCAAUCAACUGCUUCCAAGGCUGCUGAUUCAAGGUUCUCUUCUGAAGUGGAAAGCAUUCUUGGUGUUACUUUCGAAAGUUUAGGAGCUGUCACAAGGAGCAAGGUAGGCUUGCUAGGACAACAAACACAUCCAGUGUCGUUCGUGCCAAUUCCAGUUUUUGGAUCUUCAACCCCAAAAAGAGCGAAGUCCAAUACAAGUGCUUCGGAAGGAGGAAGCAGUGUCGCGGAAUCGCUUAAGAAGACUCUAGCUCUACUUGAGCAUUCUGGUUCCAAAUACUCUAGCACAAAGAGCGAUGGUCGUUCAACAAAUGCGUCAUCUCUAUUUAUACCGCAUAAGCUGAGCACAUCAAAGAUUAACUUAUGUGGCAAACCAUAUUACUCUCCAACGUCUCCAGUGAUCAUGUAAGCAAUGGUGACUGAUGCCUCGUCUAUGGAGGAGCAACUGGUGAAUCUGACAAAGGCAAUUGAGAGCCUGACCAAAUAUGUUCAGAAUCAAGAUGCUCGAAUUAAUAAGAUAGUGGAUAGGGUGGAAGGCCUGAUAGAUGGAGCAUCUAGAUAUACACUAAGAAAAGCUCUAGAGGAUCAAGAGAAAGAACAUCCUGGAAGCAAACAGCACCAACUAAAGAGGUACAAGUUUCUUCUGAGGGGAUGAUCUCGAUUGAGCAAUUGAAAAAAUUCAUUGAAGGGACCCUCAAAGACAAGUAUGAUGUUUUCACUAAGUUUUUUCUUGCGAAUGCCAAGCCCUACACUGUAAGGAUCGCUAGCCUCAAAAUUCCUGCAGGUUAUCAACCGCCCAAAUUUCAAUAAUUUGAGGGCAAAGGGAACCCGAAACAAUAUGUCGCACACUUUGUUGAGAUAUGUAAUAAUGCUGGAACUUAUGGAGACUAUCUUGUCAACCAGUUUGUUCGUUCCCUAAAGGGAAGCGCAUUUGAUUGGUAUACGAACCUUGAGCCUAACUCCAUCGAUAGUUGGGAGCAAUUGGAACAUGAGUUCGUGAAUCACUUUUAUAUCACGAGGCGUAUAGUGAUCAUGGUAGAGCUCAUAAAUACUUGACAAAAAAAGGAUGAGCCAAUCAUCGACUUCAUCAAUCGAUAGAGAAAUACGAGCCUAAAUUGCAAAGAUAGGCUCAGCAAAGCUUCUGCAAUAGAUAUGUGCAUCCAAGAAAUGCAUUGGUAGCUUCUCUAUAUCUUACAAGGCAUCAAACCAAAGUCCUUUAAAGAGUUAUCUACUCGUGAUCACGACAUGGAGUUGAGCAUGUCUUCUGCUGGAAAGAGAGGAACACCUAUCCCUGACCCUCAAAGGGGAAAGAAUAAGAAGAAACCCAAAAGAUGGGGCAAGUUUGUCCCCAAAAAUGACAAUAAGGAGUCCAUGAAUGUUGAUGUGUCUCCUGUGAAGGUCAUCACAAAGGUGAGCAAAAAGCAAAGUGUGAAGACGACCUCUGUAGCACGUCCAAAUCAGAAAACUUUAAAGGAGAUACAAGAAAAGAAAUAUCCCUUCCUUGAUUUUAAUGUUGACGAGAAUUUUAAUGAACUCCCUAAUGAAGAUGCAAUGGCUUUGGAAGUUAUAUCCCCAUGGAAGAUGUACUUUGAUGGUGCUAUACAUCGAGAUAGAACUGGUACUGGCGUAGUGUUUGUCACUCCACAAGAAGGGGUCAUCCCCUACUUUUUUACCUUGACGAAUCGUUGCUUCAAUAAUGUUGCUAAGUAUUAAGUGCUCAUACUCGGACUAGAUAUGGUUAUUGACAUGAAGCAACUAUAAUUACAAGUUUUUAGUGACUCUCAAUUGGUGAUAAAGCCGUUGUUGGGAAGCUAUGAAGUUUGAAAACCUGAGUUAAGACCAUAUCAUGAUCAUGCACAAAAGUUGAUGGGAUGGCUUAGAGAAGUAACCCUCUAACAUAUGCCAAGGAAAGAAAAUAAGCAAGCUGAUGCCCUAACUAUUUUGGCUUCAACUCUAACUUUUCCGAAUCAGACACGAGUUACUCUUUGCCAAGAAUGGGUAGUACCGCUAUCACAUGAAGAUGAAGACGUAAAAAGUAAGGUUGAAUACCUCGUCGCCAUGUUCGAAGCUAUAAAGGAGGAUUGGCGAAAACCUAUCAUUGACUACUUGUGUUAUGGGAUACUUCCAGAAGAUCCAAGGAGAAAGACUGACAUUCGUCGUCGUACACCUCACUUUCUUUAUUACAAAGACACACUGUAGCAAAGAUUAUUUGAAGGAGUACUCUUAAGGUGUUUGUGAUACGAGAAUAAUAACCACCUUAGCUUUUGACGACAUCAUUCAAAGUCACUAUGUGAAGAAUCAAGCUUUAGUCGCAUGGAGGGCACAGGAUCAUACUUGGAGGGGACAUUUUGAGCCUACCAUUAAUUAAACUCGAGUGUGAAAGAUUGCUUGGAGACUUGAAGACUUAAGUACUCUCAGGUUUGGACCACCUUAUUGGUUCACGAUUUUGGUUUCCUUGAUUGAAGGGCAUUUUGGUCUCUUAUCUUUGUCCAAGUGACACUCCAUGACCAUCCUUCCUCAUUAAGGGCAUUAGAGUCAUUUUGUAUUUAUUUUGUAAUAGAUUAUAAAUAGGCUCCUUUAGUCUUAUUUUUAUUAGUUUAUGAAAGAUGAAAUAUUGAAACAUCAAAAAUCCUCUCUCUUGAGAGUAGAACACUUAGUCUUAGUUAGGGCUUGAAAAAACUAGUAUUAAUCUUUGCUUGGAAACGGUAGAUCUUGAGGUGAGAUGAUUCCCUUGGCGAUCACCAUAAGAGUGUGAUUUUGAUUAUUACAUUCAUUAGGGGAUUUUGAGUUUAAUACACUUUUUAGUUCUUAAUCUUGUAAUAAUCUUGGUCUCACUAUCUAUCAUUUACUUUUAUUAUUGUCAUCUUGUGUAGUGGACUAUUUUGGGUCCUUUAUUGAAUUUGAAACUUGUGUUAUUGUUAUUCAUCUUGUUCCUCACGUUUUGUAGCUGUUUGUGGUGUUAUAUACACCAUUGUAUCUUGUAUUUUUCUUGUUGAUAGCGAAUCCGAGAGUGUUCUACAUCUUGGUCCUCGGAUCCUUAAGAUUGCGGACUGACUUGGAGUGUGUUUCGUGCUUCCAUUUUCUUUCUCGUAUCAUCGUGUUCCUACAAGAUCAAUCUUGGGGUUGCUUGUUAGAAAAUUCAAAAAAAGUGUUAAAAAUUGAAAAUUCUAGAAAAAUAGCAAUCUGUCUGUGUUUGUGUUCUUGGCCAAAAUUGUGUUCUUGUUGUGUCUUGGCCGAGAUUUGUUUGUUGUGUGACUAGAUCUAGUAGUGUUCUUAUUUUUUUUUUUGUUUCUAGUGUUAGUUUUCUUGUCCACUAACACUUUGAGUCUAGAUCUAAACUUGAGCUUGAACUUGUUGAAAGUUGUUGUUGUGAACAUAAACUUGGCCCAUUGUUGUUGUUCUUGUUGUUAUGGGUUUAAAGUUUGCAGUGUAGACGUUGUUGUAAUUCUUGGUGAAUGUUGUGUUGUUAUUGAAGUUCUUCACAACCUUCAUCUCUUGUUAAAAUCGAGGACACAACACUAAAGAGACUUGGUCGUUUGUUGUUGUGGAUUGGAGUUGGCCGUUGGUAUUGUUGUUGUUCUAGAAAAUUGUUGUUAUUGUUGUUGGUGUGGUUGUUGUUGUUAUUGAAGUUCUUCACCUUCCUUCAUAUAUUGUUAGAAUAUAAAGUGAAUGCUAGAUCCUAAAAGGUGAAGGAAAAAGGUGUACGUACUUGUUAGUCUUGAAAGACCCCCAACCACCAAAAGACAUAUCACUUCUCAACCAUUUUUCCAUGAUUUGACCCAUGUUUUAAGGAGAAGUACAAGAAAAAUUCAAGUGUUGAAAAUUGAAAAAGGCUCCAAGACUUAUUUUUCCUCCUAAACAAAUUCUACCAAUCCAAAUUAAUUUUUUACCAAGACUUGAACAUUUGAGAAUAACCACUUGAUAAAACCAAACCAAUACGUGGUUGCCACAUCAUCAUUGCUACUGUUCACGCAAUAUUAUUGAGCUCAAAAUUUUAUAUUCUUAGUUUUAUUUUAUUGUUUCAUUAGUUUCAUGUCUUGAUUCUAGAAUUAAUUAACAACUAGUAAUAACCUACUUAGUUGUAGAUUUAUUAUUGAAUCUGUUUCUUUCGUGUCUUCGUUAUUUGUGUGCUUUUCUCUUUUUUUAACAUGUAGUAACUUCUUUGUUUCAAGUUCAUAAGUAAAAUUUUUUUUUAGUCUUGAGUCGAUCAAACAAGAAGCUAUUCCGGCCGCCAAGUAGAAUUGACAUCUUAUUAACUACUGGAGUAUAAGCAACUUUCAAUAUUCGUCGCUCCAAUUGUGAGGAUCAUAAUUUGAGUGAAUAGGAGUGUUGGUGAGGAGCUUUUACUACUAAUUUUGUUUGUUCAUUGUGUAGGAACAAAGAUGAUAUAAGGGGAACAUGUCUUCGGUAGCGGGGAUUAUUGUGACUACAACAUGGGAGACUAUGGUUGUAGUGAAGGGUUUUAUGGCUACGAAGUUGAGGGAGAUUGUGGAGGCUAUGAAAAUAGCCAUGAUCAAAACUUGGGCAGAUUUGAAAGUUACUAUUUUGAGGGAGAAAAUAGGGUGAAUGAAGUGCCUAGUGCUUAUGGUGACUUUGGAGAUGAUGUAGGACCUCGUGAUGGAUCUUAUGAUAACGUUAGGGCAUGUGAGGAGUCUUACACUUCUUACUUCAAAUGUAGAUUUGGUGUUAGGUAUAACCCUUUCAUUCGCAAAGUUUAUAAGAGCUAUGAUGAGAGUACACGUGAGGAGUGUAAAGAUUCAUAUUCUCCACCUUGUAGUACUUCUUAUCAAGAUCGAUAUAGUGUGAAUGGUUAUACUAGCUCUAGUGGAGGUUGUUCAACGAGAAGAAGAGGGUAUGCAUCUCUAAAACCGAGGGGUGCUCGUAUCCUUUACAAUAUUGAUCCAAGAAGGAGUGUACACUUCGGAAAGGUGACCAUUUGUGGGAAACCGGGCUUCCUCAUUGUGUAAAUGAUAGGUACUAUAGAAAAUACAUCGUUCCAUCCAUGGUUGACUACUUGGGGUUAUUUUGCGAGCCUUUACUUGUUCUAUACUUCUUGGAUAGAUUUAAGGUUAUCGAGAGGGUCAAAGUUAUCUUCUCCCAAUUUGAGUACCAUAAGAAGGUGUGAUGUGAUAUUCUUCCAUUUACAUAUGGUCAUGUAUGCUUAGGUGCCGAUUGGUUUGCACAACAUAGAGUUCCAAAUGUGCAAAAUUAGCCUAAUGAUGUAAGAGAUCAAUGGGGAAAUCACCUCAUGACAUACAUGCUGUCUGAGCUGCAAAGAGAUGUGAAUACUUACUCGAAUCCGAAUACUUAUGAGGUACAAAAUAUUGAGAGGAUUAAGGCUGUUCAAGGUGGUAAUUCGAGAGUGGGAGCGAAGCGAGGGGAUUGGCACCAAACCAAGCUAACAUUGUUUGUUCUUCUAUUUCUAAGGACGUUUGUGUAGGUACCGACAUGAAAAGUGAUGGAGAGAAAUGUCAAAGUGAAGUUGCUGCCUAAGCUUAUGGAGGACCUUCAUAAUACGAAGAAGGAGAGUCGACUCAAGAACUUCAUGGUAAAAUAGCUAACUAUUACACUUUUAUGCAUGUGAAUGAAAAUUGUGUGGCUAGUAGCCCCUUGAGUGUGAGUAGUAGCUUACUUACUUGUGAGUUUAAUAAAUCUUUGCUUUUUGUUAAUGAUGUACAUGUUAUGAGUGUGGAUACACUAGUUGAUCCUAUUGAUGACCAAAUUGACUCUUCUUGUAAGAUCGAUUUAUGUCCACCUAGUGUUGAAGCCUAUAUAUUGAACGAAAGUACAUCGUCUUGUGUAAUUGGUGUUGAUCAACCUAGUUAUGAAAAUUGUCCACCACUUGAGUAUGCGUGUGAUGUGAUUAAUCAAAAUCAAGUGAGCGAAGUAUUUGAAAAAGUUGGUCAACAAAAGGGGAGUGAAACCGAGAGCUACUCUUGGGAUAAUCUUGUACUUGAAAUCUCUUUAAAAAGUAAUAUUGAGCUUUUAGAGAGUGCUGAAUGUGUUUGUUCCGAAUCUUCCCAUGAAAUAGAUUAUGCUCUCUUUAGGUAUAAUGUCUUAUUUGAAGAUGAUAUAAACACUCUUAAUGAGCCUAGUGGUGGAAAUGAAGGUAUAGCUUGCCUUGGAAGAUAUAGCCGAUAUGCUAACCCACUAUGGUGUGACAAUAUUUCUCCUAAAGAUGGAAAUCUUUUUUUUGAAAGAUGAGAGUACUCGUAUAGGUAAGAAAUGUGUAGUCCUUCUUGAAAACCUGAGGGCAAAGGUGUCAUUGACUCCUUGGAGUAAUGUUCCUUAAUGUGCUUCCUUGUUUGACAAACUUGUCCCUAAAUUGCAUGAAUUCCAACUUGUAGAUGCCAAGUUGUCUAGUUUUUUGAAGGAAAGAAUGUGUAUGUGUUUAAAUACUUAUUCUUCACCCGUGAAUUCCUUUGCAUGUGAUUCUUUCCUAUACUACCUCUUUGCCUAUGAUGAUGUCCAUGCUAGUUUUGGAUUUGUUUUAUGUCGAGGUAGGAAGUUUGUUGGUCUGUCCAUGUGUGUAUGAUAAUGCUAUAUAGAUUUUAUGGACUUUAGAACCAAUCGAAACACCCCCUUUGGUGUGGUUUUUUGAUGAGAUAAAGAAGCAAGGGUGUCUUAUGGCUCAUAAGAUGAAGUAAGUUCUACCUUGUGGAUUAUUUGAUGCCAAUAGGACCUAUGUAGUUUCUUUAUCUCUUGGUGAUUCCCAUAACCAAAUCCUUUGUGCACCUUUUAUUGAGCUUUUAAUAUUUAAUUCAAAGAAUCCUUGGAUAUAUUACAAAUAUGUUCAACCUUGGCAUGUUGAGAUGAUUUAUUGUGCUAACCCUAACCCUCAUGCCAUGAGGAGUUUGUAUUUAUUUGUCCUCUCUUUAUUUUUGCAAGGUUUGGAUUUGAGGUUGAAUUCUUUUCAAGAAGGGAAGGAUGAUACGAGAAUAAUAGCCACUUUAGCUUUCGAUGACAUCAUUCAAAGUCACUAUGUAAAGAAUCAAGCUUUGGUCGCAUGGAGGGCACAUGAUCAUACUUGGAGGGGGCGUUUUGAGCCUACCAUUAAUCAAAUCUGAGUGUGAAGAUUGCUUGGAGACUUGAAGACUUAAUUACUCUUGGGUUUGGACCACUUUGUUGGUUCACCGUUUUGAUUCCUUGAUUGAAGGGCAUUUUGGUCACUUAUCUUUGUCCAAGUGAUACUCCAUGACCAUCCCUCCUCAUUAAGGGCAUUGGAAUCAUUUUGUGUUCAUUUUGUAAUUGAUUAUAAAUAGGCUCUUUUAGUCUUAUUUUCAUUAGUUUAUGAAAGAUAAAAGAUUGAAAUAUUAAAAAUCCUCUCUCUUGAGAGUAGAACACUUAGUCUUAGUUAGGGCUUGGAAAAGCUAGUAUUGAUCUUUGCUUGGAAGCGAUGGAUCUUGAGGUGAGUUGAUUCCCUUGGCGAUCACCGUAAUAGUGUGGUUUUGAUUAUUACAUUCAUUAGGGGUUUUUGAGUUUAAUACACUCUUUAGUUCUUAAUCUUGUAAUAAUCUUGGUUUCACUAUCUAUCCUUUACUUUUAUUGUUGUCAUCUUGUGUAGUGGACUAUUUUGGGUCUUUUAUUGAAUCUGAAACUUGUGUUAUUGUUAUUCAUCUUGUUCCUCAUAUUUUGUUGCUGUUUUGGUGUUAUAUACACCAUUGUAUAUUGUAUUCUUCUUGUUGAUAGCGAAUCCGAGAGUUGUCUCCAUCUUGGUCCUUGGAUCCUUAAGAUUGCGGAUUGAUUUAGAGUGUGUUUCAUGCUUCCGCUGUCUUUCUCGUAUCAGUUUGGGAGAGAAAGAAGCAAUUCAAGCUUUGCAACAAGUGCACUCGGGAGUUUGUGGAUCACAUCAGUCUGGACCCAAGCUCAAUUUUCACAUUAAGAGGAUAGGAUAUGAUUGGCCAACGAUGGUGAAAGAUUGCUUGGACUAUGCUAGAAGAUGCAAAGCUUGCCGAUUCCAUGCAAAUUUCAUAUAUCAACCUCCAGAGGUACUACACCUAACUGUAGCAUCUUAGCUAUUCAAUGCAUGGGGAAUGGAUGUUGUUGGUCCAUUACCAAAAUCUUCUGGUGGACACUUAUACAUGUUGGCCGCGAUAGAUUACUUCUCAAAAUUUGUUGAAACUGUUUCUCUCAAGGAAGUAAAGAAACAAAAUGUCGCAAACUUUAUACGAGUGAAUAUCAUCUACCGCUUUGGAAUUCCUCAGUACAUAAUAACUGGCAAUGAAAAUCCAUUUGAUAACAAGUUAAUGAAUAAAAUCUGUAAUCUUUUUGGUUUCAAGCAGCGCAAGUCUUCUAUGUACUAUGAUGCCGCCAAUGGUCUAGUGGAAGCAUUCAAUAAGACUUUAUGCAACUUGCUGAAGAAAGUCAUCUCCAAAUCAAAUGAGACUGGCAUAAGCAAAUAGAAGAAGUUUUAUGGGCAUAUAGGACAACUUAUCGUACACCGACGUAAGCAACCCCAUACUCACUUGCUUUUGGAGUUGAAGCAGUCCUGCCACUUGAGCGUAAAAUACCUUCUUUGAGACUGGUUGUUCAAGAAGGGUUCACCGAUGAAGAAAAUGCUAAGUUGCGUCUUACAGAGUUAGAAGCUCUUGAUGAAAAGAUGCUGGAGGCUCAACAAAAUCUUGAAUGUUAUCAAUCCCGGCUUUCUCAUUCUUUCAACAAAAAGGUUCGCUUGAGGUGUUUCUAAGUUGGAGAUCAAGUCCUUACAGUAAGAAGACCCAUUAUCACUUCUAUAAGUCUGGGGGCAAAUUCACUCUGAAGUAGAAUGGACCAUACGUCGUACAAGAGACAUAUUCAAAUGGUGCUUACAAGCUUGUUGAUGCAGAUGGCGUGAGGAUUGGUCCCAUCAAUGCCAAGUCUUGAAGAAAUACUAUCCUUGAAGGAAGAUGACAAUCCUUAAGGCAUUAAACCACAUUGAGAUUUUUGUUUUGAGAAUUUAUGUGCUACAUGCACCCAUGUUUAGACUAUAAGGGUCAUUAACCCACAUUGAGAUUGUUGUUUUAAAAAUUUAUGUGCUACAUGCACCCAUGUUUAGACUAUUUUUGAUGCAGUAUAGAAAGAUUUGACCUUUUGGUCACAACAAAGUUAAAAUCCACUUUAUGAAAUGAGUUCCGAAUUUUAUCAUUUAUUUAACUUAAGAAAUAUGAGAUUACCCUUAAAGUGGAUUUUUCUUGAGAUUUUUUAGCAUAGUAUUGGGAGUAGUAUUUAGCACCGAGUUGGGUAUGUUACUGCGAUUUCAUACCCUAGAACUAUAUGCCACCGUAGGUUGAGACAUUGACUUCCACUAUAUGUGGAAAAUUGAGAUAGUGAUCACUGAGAUGAGAUUAUUCUACACCGAUUGCAAGAUUAGGACAGCCCUAACCUUAUGGGGGAAAGUCGUGGGACAUCAUGGGUGCUCACAUGGUGUACAUGUCGGUUAGAAGAACCUCCCAAAGAGUCGUCUCUCAUUCUUAGAUUGAUUUUACUGAUUUAAAAGAGAUAAGAAAUGGAGAUUUAUGAUGUAUUCAAUAUUCCAGAUUUUACUAAGAUUGCGUGAUGAGAAAAUAAGAAAAGAAUCUUGAUAUUUGGAUUAAGUGUAAUGGCUCAUGAUAUCCAGAUUGGCAUGUUUUACCAUUCAUUGUGUAUGAUAGAUUUUAGAAGAUUUCUUUCAANNNNNNNNNNNNNNNNNNNNNNNNNNNNNNNNNNNNNNNNNNNNNNNNNNNNNNNNNNNNNNNUAUAUAUAUAUAUAUAUAUGCAUAUAAAUAUGUUUAUUUCAUGCACCCCUAUGUACUCGGUACAUAUUCCAUGGUACUGACCCACAUGUUCGCAUGUGGGCUACAUUUUUCUUAUAAUGUAGGUUCAGGUGCUCAUUCUCAGGUUUGACCGUCAUUAUCCAAGAACGCUGAUCUACAUCCUCUGCAGUGGCAAGUCCUCAUGGUCCUAGGACUAGUUAUUCAAAUUUUCUCAUUUACUUUGAGUCGUUCAGUUUAUUUCCUGAGUUUGGGUCAGUUGGGGUUUGUCCCAAUGGCUCAUGGAUAUACAGUUUAGUAGAGGCUUAUCAAACUAGAUGAAUAGAUUUAUCAGAUUUAUCAGAGAUGUCGUAUUUUAUUACUUUCCAUAUUUCAUUCGUAUUGCAAUAUGAUAUUAUAGAGGAUGUUUAGAUGUUUUGAUUAUGAUGACUUUGAUUAUAAGUGUUGAAUGGUAGAAAAAUGAAUAAAAGGGUUAGCUUGGGGCUACUUGUAGCCUUAAGCACCGUGUGAUGCCUCGGGGCCCAUUUUUGGGGCGUUAUAAAGGGAUUUUAAGUUAUUGAUGAAAAAUAAAACUUUUAGUUGUAUUAUAUUCGAGAAUGGGUUUACAAUUUUGAGUUUUGAUGGUAAAAUCGUAGAAAGAACUUGAGAAAUUCCUAGUUUCCGUUGCAGUAUUCCGUUGACUAUCAUGUUGUGGUAUUAUUGGAUGGUGUUUGUGGUGGUGGUGGUGGUAUUUGUGGUCGUCGUGGUGGCACUGGUGGUGGCAUUGGUUGGUGGCGUUUGUGGUGGCUGUCGGUGGUGUCGUAUUCGUGGUGUUUGUUUGUUUGUUGGCAUUAGUUGGUGGUAUUUGUGGUGGUGGUUGUUGGUAUGUCGGUAUUCGUGGUAUUUGUAAUGUAUUUUUUAAAAUCUAUGCAUACAUCAAUAGUAAUGUAAUUUUUGUUUUUCUUUGUCUGUAGGUAAAACAUGUCUCUCAAAAGAAAAGAAAGUCAAAGUGGAUCAACGUCUGACCACUAAAUAAAAGGCUACAGUACAGAGGUAUUCAAAGGAGCUUCCUGAACAAUCUCAGUCAGGGAAAAGUGAAGCUGAGGAGAGAUGAAAACAACAUUGAAGGAGGUGGACAAGGGUCCGUAGAUGGUGAUAAAGAAAAUGAAAGUGAGAAAGAGAAGGAAUUGGAGAGUGAGAAAGAAAAAGAGGAUAAUUAUCAACAUGAUGAUAAUGGAUCACCGAGCAAAGAGCAACACCAAUAUUAAGGAAGCUGAUCUUUUUAACCCUCAAGAUGAUGCAAUACGUCUUCUUCAAGUAAAAUAAUUCUACUCAAAGAUAAGAAAGAUAUUGAACAAAUGUUAUAUCUGGUGCAACAGAUAUUAUAUCUGAUGCACCAGAUUGGACAUAUGUUGCAAUAGGGUAUAUCUUGCAUCAGAUUACCCAUCUGUUUCUUUAAUUCUCUGAAUCCGACUCUUAAAAGAUUUACCAUUUACUACAAAUUAUGCAACAGAUGUUUAAUCUGAUAACAUAUUGUUCAUCUAUUGCGACAUACAGAUCAUCUAUUGCAUAAUUGAUUACCCGUCCUGUACACCUGUUGCAACAUAUGAUUGAUAUUUUGCAUCAUAUUAUCCAUGUGUUGCUCUGUUUCUCUGAACCAGACUCAAAUGGAUUUUAACCAUAUACUGCAAACUAUGCAACAGAUGGGUGAUGACUUUUUAUAUUACUCUAGGUCAUGUUGAUACUAUUGCAGACCCAACGGUGGAGUUAAUAAAGAAGGAAUUGGCUGGAGCAACAACCCUAAGAAGAGCAGUUAGGCAAGGUCGGCCUAAUGUUGAGGCUCUUCAUGACCAACCUUUUACUAAGACAGAUUCGGGUGCUUCUUCUGGUGGAGUUGUUGGUGUUGGUGGCAGGCAUGCUGAUGCUACUACCACUCAUGAUGAUGAGCAUGUUGAUGCUCAAGAAAGAAUAAAUAUGUUUGAAAAUAUCCCUUUUUGCCCUUACACAGGUCCCUAUCACCCCUCUUCAGCCUCGUGUUCUCAUUAUAAAUGCGAUGAGUACAAGGACAGACAGGAUAAAAUCUUUGAAAAAAUAGAGACUAUCUCUAAAUCUAUCGAGAAAUUCAAAUCCAAGAGGUGUGUUAUACCAUCCAAGAAGGUGAGGGAGCCACACACUCAUACAACGUUGGUUAGGAGAAAAAAAAGAGCAAUUAGAGACGUACUCACCGCUCAAAAAUAAAAAAAUUGCAAUUUCUCCCUCUCCAAAAGCUGUUGAAGUUCAGGGUCCAGUCAAGAAGGUAGACAUAUACACUAAACUUGGUACCGAAGAGAAGAGGGAGCUGCGACAGGCCAAGCAUACCAAGCCAGGCGCGCCAGAUUACCCCAGACCUCCCUUUUCCCCCAAGACUUCCAGACUAUGACUGAUAUGCGUAUGCCGUAAGAGGAUAAGGCAAGUUUACUUUUCCUAACCUAGCCCUUCUAAUCUACCCCAUGAAUAAAAAGCUACGUAAUAGAUUUCACAUCUGUUGCAACAGUUGGGUAUACUGGUGCAACUGGUAGUGGUUCUGUUGCAACUUAUUAUCCAUCUAUUGUAUAAGUUUUGGAUUAUUGAUUCAGAGAACCCUAUGAAACAGAUGGACCAUCUGUUGUAUCUUUACAAUUACUAACCUAUUUAAAAAUUAACUUCUUAUCUCACAACAUGUUGACGUAAUUCUCUACCUCAUGAGGAAAAGGCAAUAAACUACAGGGAAGCUUAUAACGUUGCCGAUAGGAUAAUGGACCUCGACUUCUGCAAGAAGCUUAAGGAUAGGUACGAUCAAAUCAAUGAAGAGGCGUCAUCCCUUGGUGUGGGACUUGAUUUCCUAGUUCCUACGUUGGUCUUGGAUGAAGAAGAAACGUUAAGAUAUGUUAGAGGGGACAGGCUAAAUCCACACGGCAAGAGCUGGACCGAGGCAAAAAGGAUUCUUCCAGUCAUUAGCAUGAACGGCAUGCAUUAUAGGGCUAUUGAGAUACUACUCGAGGAGGAAAAGAUCAAUGUUUAUGACACCAACAUACCUCUCAUCGAUGAUUUCGAUCUUUUUCUCCUCGUGGAGCCACUGAUGGUGCUGUUGACCAUCUUGUUGAGAGAGAGUAAGCUGAUGAAUCGUUUUCCAAAGGAAGUGUUGAUGAAGAAAUCAUGGGAUUUUGAAGGUCAAAACAAGGGAAUGAUCCUUCCAAAAGAUGAUGCCGCUAAAGCAAACGGUUCACACGCUCUUGCACACAUCGAAUGUUUGCUGACCGACACAGAAAUGACCGAGCCAACAACUUUUCUGUGCGAUAAUAUUGUGGCAAACCUGCAAGAGGUCAGGUCUUAUGGGGUACUAACUGGACGCUUGAAGCCUGUGUAUAUAGAAGAGCCUGUGAAAUAGAAAUUUUUAAUUUCAAGUCACCCUUCACUUUAUUACAUGUACAUGUAGUGGCAACAAUUUUUUUGAUGAAAUUUGAGUUUUUUAUAUGCAAUGGAUUAGAUUGUCAAUCUGUUGUACAAUAUCUUUAAUCCGUUCUGGCAUAUAGUUUAUCUGUUGCAAUAGGUUGGUCAUCUGUUGCAUUACGGUGAUGUUAUUUCUAUGAAUAAUCUAAUAAUCUAAGUCUAAUCUGUUGCAACAGUGGAAAGACCUGUUUGAUAAUUUAUAACAGAUGAGCUAAAUUUUACAACAUAUGCCUAAAUCUUUUUGAUUUUUUCAGCAGUUACGCUUGAAUAUCCAUGUGCUCGACAACACCAAACCAGUAGCAAAUAUACACACCACCAUGAAAAUUUCAGCAAUUAGACUUAAAUAUCCAUGUGCCCAACAACACCAAACUAGUAGCAAUAAUGGCAAUAAUGUAGUAUCUUCUUGUUCAAUUUUGCUUCUCUUCAAAAGCCUUGAAUUUGUUCAACAAACCCCAGAUUAUACGAUUUGCUUGUGAAGGCUGUCAUUCUUCAUACCAAUCAAAUUAAUCACAUCCAUCCAAUUUCUAUAAAAAAGUGAACAUAAUUACAAAAUAAUUAAUCAAUUAAUUAAAUAAAAAAAUAUUACCUUUGAAAUCUUACAAGUAAAAAACCUAUGAUCCGAAUUUUGUUGAGUCCAAGAAGUCUUUAAUAGAGCUUCAUGUCCGCACUUACAAUAUCAAAAAUCUUUAUCACAAAAAACAGUGGAAGAUGCUCUCGACAUUGUCAAGCUCAGUUGAAAAAAAGGAAAGAAAUAAUUUGAAUAGAUAAACGAAGAUGAAGAUGAAGAAGAAGAUUUGAAAAUUUAGGGUUAAAUUUUUGGAGGAAGAUGAAUAUAUAAGACAAUGGGGGAAAAAAAUGACCAUUGGGGGCCAAGUGACGGAAAGUCAGCGAAAUGUACCAGACUGACACUAACACAUUUGAUGUCUAUUUUAUUUUACAUAUUUAAAAUGAACACUGUCUACUAGAUGCCUAUCUUAUUUUAGGUGUUUGAACUGAACAUCAUUGAUGGGUUGCGCCUUUUUUAUUUCAAUUCAAUUCACUUUAACCUUUUUACACGUAGUGAUAAUUUUUUAUGUCCAACGAAAGUUGAAUUUUUAUAAUGCAAUAGAUUCUCCAUCCGUUGUAACAGUUAUCCUACCUGUUCUGACAUAUAGUUUAUCUGUUGUAAUAGGUUGGCCAUCUGUUGCAUUAUCUCGAUUUUUAUCUAAAGUCCAUCUAUUGCAAUAGUGGGAAGACCUGUUUGAUAAAUUCCACCAGAUCAACUACCUGUUGCAAUAUAUGUCUAAAUCUGUUUGAUUUUUCCAAUAGAUGUGUCUUCUAUUGCAACAAAUACAUUAUCUGUUGCAAUAUUUGAAUCUAGUGCUCCUUUUCAAUUAAUAAGUUCAAAUCUAAGAAAUAAAUAAAAUUUGUAGACAAAAUAAAAUAAAUCAAAGCCUUCAUAAAUUAGCUGAAAUAAGUCGACGAAUAAAUGAAAUGUAAAAAAAUUAUUAUGGGUAUAGAUCUCAAUAAAUACAUCAACAACAAUUUAAGUAUAAUGUCAAGGAUUGCUUUGAAUUGACAAGCUCAAGCUAUAAGGAUCUACUCAGUAUGGACAAGUUGUUCUUCAUUCGGUGCUAUGGAAUUCGACUUUGCUCGUCGUGUAUUUUUAUUGUUGCUUAUGUACGGUUUCUGCACUUUCUGUUCUCCGCAUUUCCAUAAAAAGAGUAGCAUAUUAUCAAUGUUGUUCAGUAGUAGCUUCUUCUAUAUUCACCUGGAAAGCCAGAAUUGGUCAAUGCUAAUCACGGAGAUACAACAAAAUGAAAAAGGAUAACUCAUCUCUUCUAGUAAAUCAAACAGGUCUUUCUCCCAUUUUAAAUUAUCCCAAACAGAUUAUAUUUCUGUUGCAACAAUGAAUCAACUGUUGGGAUAAAUUUUUACAUGAGAAAGAUCCUGUGUGAUAAUUUCCAAUGGAUGAACCAUCCAUUACAACAUAUAAAUCAUCUAUAGUAGCAUAUAGGUCAUCUGUUGGUACAAAUAAAAGCGGUAUGAAGAACUGUUUGAUUUUCUAAACAGAAGAGACAUAUGUUACACCAGAUAAAGUAUCUUGUGUAACAGGUUAGUCAACUGUUGCAACAGAUGUAUAUAUCUGUUUGAUAAUUUUUAGCAGAUAUGUCAUCUAUUGAAACAGAUAUGUGUCUGUUUGUUUUGUCAGUUGGAAGACAUAUAACAUACUCACCUUCUUCAGCUCGUGCUGCUCUCCUUUGGAUAUUGUACGUUACUUAGUGCAACACACAGACAGAGUAGUUAUAAUUUUGCUUUUUUGGAUGCUUGAUAAUACCCUGGAAAUCACUCUCCUUCUCUCUUAGCCCUAAUCUCUAAUGGAGCGGAUGGAAAUAAAAUCCUCUUUGAUAGAAUGAGACCUCUCUUAGAUGUCAAUUCCUUUAUAGAAGUAGUUAAUGCAUUAAUAGCAUUAAUCACUACAUCAUGUUUCGCCCUCCAGUCUUGACAUUUGCAUGCAGAACAUUCGCUGGGAGAGGCAAAAUCUGUAUAACCAGUAUGAUCAUACUCAUAAUGAUUUGCUUUAAAUACUGUAAGAGGAGCAUCAUUAGCACCAACAGCAGCACCACUACCACCACCAACAACUCCAUCACCACUAAGACCAUCAACAACAACAACAAGCCCACCUUUUAAAAUUAUUUUUCUUAUAAUGGCUGUUGCUCCAAAUAAUUCUAUUUUUAUUCUGUCGAUGAUCUUAGGGUUCGAUAAGUUUGUACAGACCGUAAAGUAAGAAAAAAUAGCAUAUUCAACUCUCGAUUGGUUGGAACUAGCGACGGAUGCACAAUCUAACAUAAAUCAUGACAUAUAUUAGAAUGAUGAUUAGAUCAAUCAAAAUAAAUCAUUAAUUAAAAGAAAAAAUUAAUUAUAAUUAUAUUUACUGCAUUCUUCGAGGGGUUGAAGAGAUCAAGAAAUUUUGCACUUUUAUCAGUUUUGGCUGACAACCAUCUCAAGAUUCUUGGACAGGAAACUCCUUCCUGGUAGUUCACUUGUUGUCUUAAUAAGGAAUGGCUUCAAACGCCCAAGCAUAUAAAAUAAUGCCAAUAAAUCAAAACCAUUAUUGAGCCAAAAAAAUGAAUGAUAUCAUAAUAGAAGAAAGAAACAUUUACCAUGAAGUCCAUGGAAAAUCAUAUAAGUUGACUGUCUUUGGCGCUAACGAAGUCAACAAAUAUUUGACAGUCAUUUUGAAGCUUUCAUACCCCCAAGGAUAGCUGUUAAACGCCUUAAGAUCCUCGGAGAGCUUUAUUAAACCGAGGCUUAUGUUGUUGUUAACGUCUCUCGCCCAAAGAAUAUUAUGUACAAACCAAACCAAGCACAAUGAUUGCUUGUGCUUCUUUGAAAGUCCUUUACCUUUCAACGCUUCUAUCAAAUUUUUAUUUUUGAAGCUUGGACCAACAAUGGACACCAGGUUAUAACGAUCACACGACUUGCCUUUGCCUUUUUGGGGUGUGCGGGGUGCUUUUUUAGGUUAGAAUAGGUAUAACUUGAGAAGGAGGAUAAUAUUUUAGUCCAGUAACUAUGGCAAACUCUUUCCAACUAAAAUAAAUAGGCAUGCCACAGUAAUUUAUCCACACCUCAUCUAUCUUAUCUUUAUUUUCAUAGAUAAACCUAUGCUUGAGAAGUUCAUAUACCAUUUUCAUUUAGAAACAAGCAUUGUUGUCCUCUGGCAAAUCAAGAUAUUUCUCAAAGUAGCUGUGCCUGAAAUAAGCAUCUAAUUUUUAUUCUCAAAGUAUUUUUCUAAAGGCGUUGAAAGAUUUUCCCAUGAAUAACUUCCACGAAAUUACCCGUUAAAUCUGCGGCAUCAUCACACUGCAUUCUCACAGGAUAAUGAUCAAUGUUGAAGGCUUUGACCAGCUCUUCGAUGGAAGGGCUAUUAUCAUCUGCAUCAUCUCUUCUAAAAUAUUUCUCCUCCCCAUGUUCAUCAUAUUCUGCUCUCGAUUGAGAUAACGCUUGUAAAGCAAGCUCAUAGAGUGGUGGAUGUAGCCUAGCUGUUUCACUUGUUCCUUUACUUGGACUUGAUUCGAUUUCUGUUCUUUUGGGAAUCAUAUUAUCUAAAAUUAACAGGAACAUAAAAUAAUAUAUUAUUGUUGAUUAAUGCAUCAUUAAAAAAGGAUAACAGUAAAUCAAACAAGCAAAAUAGUAAAAUGACAGCUUUAACAGAUUAUCGAUCUAUUGCACUAGGUAGUAUAUCUGUUGCAGCAUAUAACCAAACUGUUGCAACGGAUGAGUAAUCUGUUACAACAAUAAAAACAUAUCACUCAUAUUUUAAGACAGAUGAAUGGUCUGUUCAACAGAUCACACAACUGUUGUGACAUCAUCUGUUGUAAUAAAUGAGUGAUCUGUUGGAAUAGUUAAAUAAUCCAUAGCAACGGCUGAGUAAUCUAUUGCGAUAAUACAAACAUAUCAUUCAUCUGUUCAGAAAGAUGAAUGGUUUAUGCAACAGAUCACACAUCUGUUGCAACAUAUGAAUGAUCUGUCAGAGCAGUUAACUAACCUGUAGCAAUGACUGAGUAAUCUGUUGCGACAAUACAAAACAUAUCACUCAUUUGUUGAGAAAGAUGAAUGGUCUGUGUAACAGGUCACACAUCUGUUGCAACACAUGAGUGAUCUGUUGGAACAGUUAUCAACAGUCAAUAUUGCUUAGUUUUCUUCCAACAUAGGGUCGUCUAUCAUGGCAGAUGAAUGAUCAGUUGAAAAAAUCAAGUCUUGGACAUUUCCUGUAGGAAGAGUUGAUAGGAUUUUAUCCAACAGAAGGUUCAUCUAUUGCAUCAGAUUAUUAAUCUGAUGGUUCUUCCAUUGCACCAGAUGAUUAAUUAGUUGCAUCAGAUUUUUUAUCCUAUGCUUAAUUUUUUGCAAUAUAUGGUAAAGCUCUUGCAUCAGAUAGUUAAUAUGUUGCAUCAGAUUAUUAAUCUGUUGCAUCAGAAUUAUAAUUUGAUUAUUCCUCGGUGCAUCAAAUGGUUGAUCUGUUGCAUCAUAUGAUAAAUCUGUUGCACCAGAUGUUUAAUAUGUUGCACCAAAUGAGUAAUCUGUCGGAGGAAAUAAAAAACAGUAGCACGAUUUUGUUCAACAAAAAAUAUCAAUUUCACCAUUUUUACUAAGAACAAGAACAGAACAAAUCAAACCAAAUUGUCGUUUUAUCUUAAUAAACACAAACAAUAAAAAUCAAACUUCAAAAAAAUGCAACAAACAACAAAAUAUCAUAAUUCUCUUCGAAAAGAAAAGAGAAGAAAUACUAGAAAUUAGAGUUUUAUUCAGACCGCAUUUCAAAUUAGUGCAACAAAUAUUAAAAUUGUUAACCAAUACUAUAAGAGAAGUUGGCUCAAGUUCCUUGUUUUCUUCAAAACUAAAAAGGCCAUAAAUUUUUACCUGUGAAAGAAGAAAAGGAACGAUGAAGAAUUCGAAGCUGUUGUGGCCGGAGAGCAAGUCUGUCACGUCGAUUGAAGGUUGAAGUCGAAAAGGAACUCGAAGCCCAACUAUUUGUAGUCGGAUGUUAAAGUCGCCGAGGAUUGAAAUGAGAAAUUUGCAGAACAGUUGGUUGGGAAAGAAUUGAGAGAAGCUGCCAAGAGAGGAAUGAAAGACAGGUUGAUUGAAUAGAAGAGAGGAACUCGAAGCCCAACUAUUUAUUGUCGGAGGUAGAAGUCGUCGGGGGUUGAAGGGAGAAAUUUUGCAAAACUGUUGGUUGGGAGAGAGUUGAGAGAAGCUGUCGAGAGAGAGGGGAGAGUGGUUGAUUUGGAUUGAAGAGGGGAGUUGGGUUGAUUUGUAUUUUUGAAAAGAUUAGAAAUUUUUAAAAAUAUUAAUCAAGUCCACAAUUAACUUAAUUAAGUUUCCUAAUGAUGUUUGACCCUAUCUGUUGGUCAAUGUCACCAAUCCUUCAUUCAAGACUUAAAAGACACUUUUCCUUCAAUUUUCUCCACUUACUCUAUCUCAAAUGUCCAUUUUCUUUCUAAUUUUAAAAAGUGUUUUUUCUUUUUUGCUUUGCUAUUUAAAAAAGAAAAAAAAACUUUUUAGUUGUUUUUUAUUUAAAUUUUUUUUAUUUUCUAAUAGUUUCACUUCUUUAGUGAAAGAAAAAUAUUUAUGUUGUUUUAUUUUUUUAAUUUAUAUUUUUAUUUAUUAAGGUGGGAACGUAUUAUAAUCAAAUAAGUAUCAAUAUCGAUACAUUACAUAAUUAUUUAUAUAACAUCGAUACACAAUUAUACACCAUUUGUAUAAUGUACCUAUUUAUGCAACAUCGAUAUAAGUUUAUACAUGCAUGUUUAUACAUACAUGUUUAUAUAGUAAUUAUACAAUAUUUAUACAGGUUUAUACAUCAUUUAAACAGAGUAGAUAUUACAUAACUAUUUGUACAUCGUCGACACUUGUUUACACACAUUUAUAUAAUAUUGAUAUAUUAAAUAUAUGCUACAUAACUAUUUGUACAUCAUAUAUACAUGUUUAUACAUCAUGUAUACAAUAUUGUUACACGUUUAUACUAUUAUACAAUAUCGAUACACUACAUAUAAACUAUGUUAACUAUUUAUAUAAUAUUGAUAUAUUAUAUAUUAACUACAUUAACAAUUUAUACAAUAUCAAUACACUACAUAUAUAGUACAUAACGAUUAGUACAUUAUAUAUACAUAUUUAUACACCAUUUAUAUAAUAUUAAUACAUGAAAAAAUUGCAUGAAAAGCCCUUUUAAAAGAAAAGUGAAAAAGUUUUCCUUUCAAUGAAAAAAAUGAAGCAAAAAAAGUAACAAAAAAAUUAUUUUUUUCUUUUUUUAAUUUACUGCUGAAAAUAAUAGAAAAAGGAUGAAAAUGGUCUAAUGGCCAUUUUAAGUAAUAUACAAAACUUGGUUAUAUUUAUUGUAAAUUUUUUAUUUUUUAAAUAUAAAUGAAAUUUUUUCUUUAAAUAUGUACGCAGAUAUAUAACUUAUUAAAUUUAAUGAAAUAAACUUAAUCAAAUAUUUUUAAAUUUUACAAAGCUAAUAUUAUGUUCAUACGUUUUUAAAAGAUUUUUAAAAAUUCGCCAGCUUCAUCAAGUUCUCGUGCAAAUUCAAUAUUUUCCAUGAAAGGUUUGAUAUACUAUUGCACAAGAGUUGUUACAUAUACUUUUAUAAACAAGAACUAGUAGAACUAUCCGUUCUUUGCGCGGUUAAAAAUAUCUUAUUCAAUUCAUGAAAUGAUCCUCUUUAAAAUAUUUGAGCACUUGUAAUAUAACUAGAGGAACAUGGCCCGUGUAGUACAGGCCUAACAUUAAGAUAUUUAUUUCUCUUUUCAAUCUUGAUAUAUUUAAAUAAAAUUUUUUAAUAACAGGAUUGCAUAUGUUUUCUAGGAUUCAUCCGGAAUCUAGCAUUAAUUCAACAUAUCUUAUUUUAAUAUUAUUUAGAUAAUUUAAGUUGUUAAAUAUUGUAAUUUAUAAUAUUUUUUAUGUAAUUUUCAAAUUAAUAUACGUUACUUUUCUUGUCCAAAUUUUGCAGCAUUGAUAGACAAUUAUAUUUUAAAAAUAAUUUAAGUUUUUAAUUAUUUUGAUUUAUGAUACUUUCUUCUAUUUCAAUUUUAGUGACACUAAUAUAAUUUCAAGAGUCGACCAAAUAUUUUAUAUCUUUCAAAAAUUUUAAAUUGUUAAUUAUUGUGAUUUCUAGUAUUUUUCAUGUGAAACAUAUAACAUAUUAAAUUAUUUUUAGAUAUUUUAAGUUGUAAACUAUUAUAAUUUAUAAUACUUUUUAUGUAAUUUUUGAAUAAUAUAUUUUACUCUCCUUGUCCAGAGUUUUGUGUCAAUGAUAGCCAAUUAUAUUUUUUAAAUAAUUUAAAUUUUUUAUCAUUGUGAUUUGUAAUAUUUUUUCUAUUUCAACUUAUGUGGCACAAUGCUUAAAUGACCAUAAUAAUUAAUUAGGAGUGAUAUAAUAAAAUAUAAUUAUUAUUAUUUAUUAUUUAUUACUUUUAUUAUGUGUAUGUGUUGAUUCAAGUAGAAUUUGGAAACAUUUAGAAAUAUGUUGAAUGUUACAAAUGUUAAUAAUCCAUUUGGUGCUUCUUGAUUUCUCUACAUUUAUUUCUUGUGUGUUUUUACUCUUUUGUUCUUUGAGUAAAUGUAGUAAUUUUUUUAAAAAUAUCAUGAAAUUUUUUAUUAUUAGUUUUUCAAUACAAAAGUGACUUAUAAUAAUUAAUUGCGGGUGAUACAUUAAAAUCACGAUUGAAGCAGCAAAAAUCAGUCAAUUUUUUAAAAUUAUUUUGUUAAUUAUUGUUAUUUACAGUACUUUUUAUUUUAUUUUCAAAUAAUAUAUGUUGCUCUAUAUCUUCUUCUAUCUAGUCCCAAUUUAUGUGGCACUAGUAUAAUUUUGAUAGUCAAUCAAAUAUUUUAUGUUGACAUAUAAUUUUGUUAUUUUAUUUUUUAAUAUAUAAAUGACUUAUAAUAAGGAGUGAUAUAAUAAAAUCAUCGUUCGAAAGACAAAAUUUUAAUUUAAAACAUUAAGAGUUAAUUUCGCAUUUUAUGUCUAUUUUAUUUUUCAUUAAAUAUUAUUUAUUUUUUUAAUACCUAAUUGACUCAUAAUAAUUAAUUAAGAGCGAUUAAUUAUGUUAUUACUAUAAAAAUUAAUAUAAUUUUAUUAUAUCCAAUAGUAAUCUUCGAUAAUUCACUAAAAUAAUAUAUUAAUUAAAUACGAGAUGCUAUAUUUGCAUAUGCAAACUUUAAAAAUUUAAAGUUAAGUUUAAAUAUUAGUAUUUCUAUAUAAGAAAAAAAUUAAUUAAAAUAAAUAAAUAAAUAAAUAAAAAGAUUACUUUUCUAUAUAAAAGUCAAUUAAAAUAAUAAAAUUGAUUUACUUUCAAUAUUUAGUUGCAAUUAAUUAAGAUAAUUUUUUAUUUUGUCAUAAUUUAUGUUGAACCGAUAAAAUUUUGAGAGUUGAAUAGAACUUUUAUCUAUUUUUAAAAAAAGUAUUUUUACUUGUUAAUUAUUAUAAUUUAUAAUAAUUUGUACGUAUUUUAAAAUAAUAUAUUUACUCCUUGUGUCUCCAUUUAUAUGGUUUCAAUACAAUUUUGAGAAUCAACUAAAAUUUUUAUAUAUUUUUUAAAUAUUUUAAAUUGUUAAUUAUUAUAAUUUGCAGUAUUUUUUCUUUUAUCUCAAUUUAUGUGGCAUUGCUAAAAUAAUAAGAGUCAAUAAAUUUCUGUGUCUUUCAAAUAUUUUAAGUUAUUAAUUAUUGUGAUUCGUGAUGACAAAUUAGUUUUGAAUAUGAUAGCAAUUAAAUAAAUAAAAAAAAUUUACUUCUAAUAUGUAGUUAUAGUUAAUUAAUUUAAAUUUAAUAGAAUAUAUUAAAUACUUGAAUCAUUACGACGAAACAAUAAAAUUAUUAUAUAUUUAAGCAUGAUAUGUAAUUAAAUGAAAAUAAUUUUUUUUUGAUAAUUGCAUGAGAGGUGGUUGAAACCACCUCUUCUGCUGUAUAAUUGAAAUAUAAUGAUAAAAAUAGGUUGUGCGCACCUAAAAAAUGACCCUCACUUUCCACAAUUAUAUAUUCCGAGAAAAUUACAUAUAUAUCGUCUUUUGAUUUUAAUUUGUACAUAAUGCUCUGAUGUUUUUGCUUGUAUACCUUGCAAUCCAUUCUAUUUUACCAGUUCCAAAUUAAAAUUACACAAUUAUUAAGAAAAUCAUGAUCGAUAAAGUAGCUUUAUCAUUUAACCUCUCUUAAUUGUGUAUUGUUGUCAAUUUCAAUAUUAAUGGAUGACUAAUAUCAAAGCACUAUUUAUAUUCUUAAUAGUAUACUCUUUAUAACAUUUUUCAAGAAUAUUAAUAAUAAAAAGUAAUCAAUUAUACAAGGGAAUAAUGGUAAUCGACAUGCAAGCAAACUCUAAAAGAGGAGCCUGCAAUCCGGUCUGUUGAGCUUGAAUAUUAUGAAGUCAUCAUCGUGACACUUCUUCCACAAAUAAAUUAGAGUAAAAAGAAAAUUAGAAAACGUGUAAAAUUAAAAGAAAAAAAAAAGAAAUAAAAGAAAUUGCUUAAUCAAGUAAGAGCAGAUCAAGCUAUCAAACAUUAACUUAUACGUAAAUACCAUUGAUCACAUUUUGUAUUCCAUGCGAAAUUGGUUUUUAUGAAAAUGUUUCAUGUAAAACUGAACAAUGAAACUACAAAUCCUUGAUUUAUAUUAUAACUACAUAGUAAAAACUCAUAUCAAAACAUUAAAACUACAACUUGACAAAAGAUAAUUAACUAUUAGCGAUUAUUAAGGAAAAGCAAUUAAAAUUCAAUUAGUGGUAACUCACAACAAAUCUAUAGAAGGAUUUCCAGAUCACAAAUCCAUACCACAGAAAAUGCAAUCAUGAACCAGGAAUUUCAGAGAAGGUACAUGUUAAAGCUAAGCAAAAGCACUCAAAGAAAACAUUUUCAUAGGAAGCGAUUGAACUUCGAAAGGUAUGACACAAGCCACCAUAUCAUCAUCAGAACGAUAAUCAAUUUCAUUCACAACCAUAACUAGUUGUGUCCAAAGGUGUCCUAAGAUUGAUCUGUGUCAUCAUUUGACUUAUGGCAACCAAUAAACUAAGAAAAAUGUUGCAAAAAAAAAAAAAAAAAAAAUAUGUGCCACAAAUUAAAAACCAAAAGUAAAACUUGAAUUAAUAAACAGUAUGUGAUUCAGUUGCAACAUAAACAUAAUCACUAUUAUAAAAUCAGUCCAAGUGUUGGAAUUAAAAUAAUUGCUUCAUCAUCAUCACCAUUAGAACAAAAUAUAAAACGGCAGUUUCAUAAAUAGAAAAACAAGAAUAAAAGGUCAUUCAUCACCGAAAUCAGAAGAGGGAGCUUAGAUAUCCUCAUUAUGAUUUCAAUUUAAAAAACCACUAAAUAAGUUAGAAAAAUAAAUCAAAAGAAAAAAGAGUCACUCAGUUCAGCGGGGUAAUCGACACGCAAGCAAACUCUAAAAAUAGAGAAGCCUGCAAUCCGGUCUGUUGAGCUUGAAUAUUAUGGAGUCGUCACCGUGACCUUUUUUCCAUCAAAAAUCAAUUAGGGCAAGAAAAUGAAGAAAAAUUAAAAAGUAGAUCUGGGGGAGGAAUGAAAAUGCUCAGUGGUGGCUAGUUGUUAUUGGUUCGAUUCUGCCAGCAAGUUUCCUCAAUGUUACUCAGAAGAGGGAGCUUGGAAUCCUCAUUGCAAAAUCCACCUCCCCAAAAAUUGUUUACAAAAUCUAACAAAGAGAUUUAAAAAGCAUAUAUUAAAGAUGUAAAGAAGAGAUGGCUCAGGGAAGAAGGAGAUCGACAUGCAAAGACAGAAGCCCCUGACAAUCCGGUCUGUUUAGCUUGAUCUUUCAGAGUCCGCAUAGCCACUCUUCCUUCUACAUCAACUAAAAGUAUAAAUCAGAAAAUGCAAUAAAGAAAGGAAAAGGAAGAGGAGUUUGUUGCUGCUUUACUGUGUGAAUGGUGUGGGGGCG